UACGGAGGGUGCGAGCGUUGUCCGGAAUCACUGGGCGUAAAGGGCGCGUAGGCGGCGCGAGCAGUCGAUCGUGAAAGUCCGGAGCUCAACUCCGGAUCGGCGGUCGAUACUCUCGUGCUUGAGCACUGUAGAGGCAGAUGGAAUUCCGGGUGUAGCGGUGGAAUGCGUAGAGAUCCGGAAGAACACCGGUGGCGAAGGCGGGUCUCUGGGCCGAUACUGACGCUGAGGAGCGAAAGCGUGGGGAGCGAACAGG
rnacentral:rRNA from 1 species